rnacentral:rRNA from 1 species
GGGGUAAUGGCCUACCAAGGCGACGACGGGUAGCCGGCCUGAGAGGGUGACCGGCCACACUGGGACUGAGACACGGCCCAGACUCCUACGGGAGGCAGCAGUGGGGAAUAUUGCGCAAUGGGCGGAAGCCUGACGCAGCGACGCCGCGUGGGGGAUGACGGCCUUCGGGUUGUAAACCUCUUUCAGCAGGGACGAAGCGGAAGUGACGGUACCUGUAGAAGAAGCACCGGCCAACUACGUGCCAGCAGCCGCGGUAAUACGUAGGGCGCGAGCGUUGUCCGGAAUUAUUGGGCGUAAAGAGCUCGUAGGCGGCUUGUCGCGUCGGUUGUGAAAGCCCGGGGCUUAACCCCGGGUCUGCAGUCGAUACGGGCAGGCUAGAGUUCGGUAGGGGAGAUCGGAAUUCCUGGUGUAGCGGUGAAAUGCGCAGAUAUCAGGAGGAACACCGGUGGCGAAGGCGGAUCUCUGGGCCGAUACUGACGCUGAGGAACGAAAGCGUGGGUAGCGAACAGGAUUAGAUACCCUGGUAGUCCACGCCGUAAACGGUGGGCGC